rnacentral:rRNA from 1 species
UCAUGAUAAAAAAAUCAAAGCUGCCCUAGGGUAGUACCUGUGGAUGGACCUGCGUCCCAUUAGUUUGUUGGUAGGGUAACGGCCUACCAAGACAGCGAUGGGUAGCCGGCCUGAGAGGGUGAACGGCCACACUGGGACUGAGAUACGGCCCAGACUCCUACGGGAGGCAGCAGUGAGGAAUAUUGGGCAAUGGCCGAAAGGCUGACCCAGCAACGCCGCGUGAGGGAUGAAGCUCUAAGGAGUGUAAAGUCCUGUUAGGAGGGAAGAAUUAUACUUAUUGUGGUUUUGCUACAGAUCGACGGUACCUCCAAAGAAAGCUCCGGCUAACUCUGUGCCAGCAGCCGCGGUAAUACAGGGGGAGCAAGCGUUGUCCGGAAUCACUGGGCGUAAAGAGCGUGUAGGUGGGAAGGUAAGUCAGAGGUGAAAUGUUGGGGCUCAACCCCAAACCUGCCUUUGAAACUGCCUUUCUUGAAUAUGGUAGAGGGAAGCGGAAUUCCAGGUGUAGCGGUGGAAUGCGUAGAUAUCUGGAAGAACACCGGUGGCGAAGGCGGCUUCCUGGCCCAUUAUUGACGCUGAGACGCGAAAGCGUGGGUAGCAAACAGGAUUAGAUACCCUGGUAGUCCACGCCCUAAACGAUGAUCACUAGGUGUUGGGAGAUUCGACCCCCUUCAGUGCCGUAGCUAACGCAUUAAGUGAUCCGCCUGGGGAGUACGAUCGCAAGAUUGAAACUCAAAGGAAUUGACGGGGGCCCGCACUAGCGGUGGAGCAUGUGGUUUAAUUCGAUGCAACGCGAAGAACCUUACCUGGGCUUGAACUGUGCAGGAAACUUUCCGAAAGGUGGUCCUCCUUCGGGACGGCUGUAGAGGUCCUGCAUGGCUGUCGUCAGCUCGUGUCGUGAGAUGUUGGGUUAAGUCCCGCAACGAGCGCAACCCCUGCCCUUAGUUGCCAGCAGGUAAUGCUGGGCACUCUAAGGGGACUGCCGGUGAUAAACUGGAGGAAGGUGGGGAUGACGUCAAGUCCUCAUGGCCCUUACGUCCCGGGCUACACACGUGCUACAAUGGCCGGUACAGCGGGUUGCGAUACCGCAAGGUGGAGCCAAUCCCUAAAAACCGACCUCAGUUCGGAUUGCAGUCUGCAACUCGACUGCAUGAAGUCGGAAUCGCUAGUAAUCGCGGAUCAGCACGCCGCGGUGAAUACGUUCCCGGGACUUGUACACACCGCCCGUCACGCCAUGGAAGUCGGUAGCACCCGAAGCCAGUGGCCUAAUCCAUUUCGGUGGAAGGGAGCUGUCGAAGGUGAGAUCGAUGACUGGGGCGAAGUCGUAACAAGGUAACC